CCCAGGGUGGUGUAGUGGCUUGAGUGUUUGACUAGGAUUCUGGAUACCAAGGUUCAAAUCCUGGCUUGGACA